AUGAUCAUCACGGGGGAUGACCCCGAGUAUAUUGCCUUUGUAAAGGCCCGUCUUAGUGAGCAGUUUCUUAUGUCUGAUCUUGGACCUCUUCACUACUUUCUUGGGAUUGAAGUCUCUUCUACCUCUGAUGGCUUUUUUAUAUCCCAGGAAAAGUAUAUCCAGGAUCUUCUUGCUCGUGCUGCUCUUACUGACGAGCGCGUUGUUGAGACUCCUAUGGAGCUUAAUGUUCACCUCCGUGCUACUGAUGGUGAUCCUCUCCCUGACCCGACGCGUUAUCGUCAUCUUGUUGGCAGUCUUGUCUAUCUAGCUGCCAUUCGUCCGGACAUCUCUUAUCCGGUUCAUAUUCUGAGUCAGUUUGUCUCUGCUCCCACCUCGGUUCACUAUAGUCAUCUCCUUUGUGUUCUUUGA
rnacentral:rRNA from 1 species